rnacentral:rRNA from 1 species
GGGGCCUCGUGACCGGUCUACACCGGGAUGUUCAUAACCCUUUGUUGUCCGACUCUGUUGCCUCCGGGGCGACCCUGCCUUCGGGCGGGGGCUCCGGGUGGACACUUCAAACUCUUGCGUAACUUUGCAGUCUGAGUAAACUUAAUUAAUAAAUUAAAACUUUUAACAACGGAUCUCUUGGUUCUGGCAUCGAUGAAGAACGCAGCGAAAUGCGAUAAGUAAUGUGAAUUGCAGAAUUCAGUGAAUCAUCGAAUCUUUGAACGCACAUUGCGCCCCCUGGUAUUCCGGGGGGCAUGCCUGUUCGAGCGUCAUUUCACCACUCAAGCCUCGCUUGGUAUUGGGCAACGCGGUCCGCCGCGUGCCUCAAAUCGACCGGCUGGGUCUUCUGUCCCCUAAGCGUUGUGGAAACUAUUCGCUAAAGGGUGCUCGGGAGGCUACGCCGUAAAACAAACCCAUUUCUAAGGUUGACCUCGGAUCAGGUAGGGAUACCCGCUGAACUUAAGCAUAUCAAUAAGCGGAGGAA